GACGAACGCUGGCGGCGUGCUUAACACAUGCAAGUCGAACGGAAAGGCCCUGCUUUUGUGGGGUGCUCGAGUGGCGAACGGGUGAGUAACACGUGAGUAACCUGCCCUUGACUUUGGGAUAACUUCAGGAAACUGGGGCUAAUACCGGAUAGGAGCUCCUGCUGCAUGGUGGGGGUUGGAAAGUUUCGGCGGUUGGGGAUGGACUCGCGGCUUAUCAGCUUGUUGGUGGGGUAGUGGCUUACCAAGGCUUUGACGGGUAGCCGGCCUGAGAGGGUGACCGGCCACAUUGGGACUGAGAUACGGCCCAGACUCCUGCGGGGGGCAGCAGUGGGGAGUAUUGCACAAUGGGCGGAAGCCUGAUGCAGCAACGCCGCGUGCGGGAUGACGGCCUUCGGGUUGUAAGCCGCUUUCGCCUGUGACGAAGCGUGAGUGACGGUAAUGGGUAAAGAAGCACCGGCUAACUACGUG
rnacentral:rRNA from 1 species